rnacentral:rRNA from 1 species
GACAGAGGAUGCAAGCGUUAUCCGGAAUGAUUGGGAGUAAAGCGUCUGUAGGUGGCUCUUUAAGUCUGCUGUCAAAUCCCAGGGCUUAACCCUGGACAGGCGGUGGAAACUACCAAGCUGGAGUACGGUAGGGGCAGAGGGAAUUUCCGGUGGAGCGGUGAAAUGCGUAGAGAUCGGAGAGAACACCAACGGCGAAAGCACUCUGCUGGGCCGACACUGACACUAAGAGACGAAAGCUAGGGGAGCGAAUGGG